rnacentral:lncRNA from 1 species
CACCGGAAGUCAAUGAAGCGGGUCUUUCCCACGCUAAAAACCACUGAGUGGAGUAUUUAGUACACAGGAAGUCGGCCAGAGAAACAUUUCUCAUAUUUGAAGGCCGGGAAGAGGGACAUUUCUGACACCGGAAGUCAGUGAGAGGGCUCUUUCCCACACAGGAAGUCAGCUACAGAGCCCUCUCCCCUCUCUAGAGCUGAGAGACGCCGGUUUCCCCCGCCAUAGCAGGGCCAGGAGAAAGGGAUGGGGAGAGUCCCUCCUGCCACUGACCCAGGAUGGAUAAAAGUACCCCUUUCAUAGAAGGAAGAAAAUGGGAACAAAGGUGCUGCUGAUCAUCUGAGGUUGCCUGCAUGGCAGUUAAGAGCAUGGACCUUUGGGUAGCCCACCUGGGAGGAAUUUUCCUGAGAUCACUGUCUGAUGACCCUGUCUUGGAAUUGGAGCCAUCCAAGUUACACUGACCAUAUUUGGGUUGGGAUAUUGAGGAGGUUAUGGUUAAAAGCAUACGAUGGGAGAUGAUAUUGUACUUGCGAGUGAGACCUGGCUGGAGGAAUGUUUUAAUUCUUUGGAAAUACCAACUGGUCUCUACAGAACGCUGAAGAUUCUGCUCUCAGGGUGUUGAUUGAUGUCUGGAAGGCAGAGACUCAUGGAUUAGCAAGCAUGUGUAAGACAGUGCUCUGGAUGCCACAGGGUGGUAAUUUGUGCAUGGAAAAUGGCUGGGGCGAAGAGGAGGGUAGGCUUUAUCUUGUCAGGUGGUCUCUGUGGUUCCAGUACCCAUGAGGGAGCUGGGUCUGAAGGACCUUGGAGCUUUGCAGAUAUAAAGGAAAAGCUGAUUUAAGUUUCCCCAGUUUUCUCUGCCCCCUUCACGAAAGAAUUACAGCAUAUAAUAAGAAAAAUCUGGAGAAACACUUAUUUUUAUGG